UUGGUCACGUGGUUUUACCUCAUCAAGUAAUGGGAUAACCACAUCAAAGAAUGACAGGACCACAUCAAAUAAUGAAACAAACACAUCAUGUAGUGUAAAAUCGUCAAAUUUUGAAACAUCAUUGCGUAAUGUUAAAACCAUAUAAAGAAUAGGCAAAUCAGCAUUACGAAAUAACAAAACCACAUCAUGUAAUGAAACAACUACAUAACGUUAAGUCACAUUCACAUCAAGAAAUGUUAAAACCACAUUGACUAAUGACACAACCACAUUAAAUAAUGGUGAAACCACAUCGAGUAAUGACAAAACCAUAUUGAGUAAUGACAAAACUAUAUCAAGUCAAUACGAAACCAUAUCGUGUAAUAUCGAUAUAUCAUUAAGUAAUGACUAUUCCAUAUUGAGUUAUAUCAAAACAUCAUUACGUAAUGUCAAAACCAUAUUAAGUAAAGACAAAAUAUCAUCAAGUAAUAAUAAAACAACAUAAAGUAAUAUCAGAGUUUCACAUAAGACAGCUGUGGCGUUCCAUAUUGAUUGGUCAAUGUACAAUAGUAGAUGUGGUCCGGGGACACAGUUACCAAAUAGAGUCACUAGUGUGGACAGUGUAUAACAUGCCAAAUUUUUUCAUACACCAUCUUAAUAAACUUCUUUAUAUUUUAAGAAUAACAUAGUAAGAAGAGAGGUGAAAUUACACGUAAACAAAAUUUGAGAAUGAAUUUUAAGGUAAAGUUGUGAUUUGGUCCAGUUAGAAAAGGAAACAUUAGUAUGUCUGAAGCUGUCAAACUAAAUUAUAGACCCCUUAAAAUAAAAGUGUCCAUGUUUUGAGUAAAAACAGAUAAUUUUUUCUAUAAUUUCGAUAUAAUUUGUCUCAUAAGUAGUACACAUCACUGUCAAAAUCUUAUUUGGAUAGAGCGAUUUAUUAAAUUUGCUUUCAUUGUCUAAAAAAAAAAUGCACUAUGAAAUAACUGUGUUCUCGGGCCUUGUCAUCCAAAUUUACAAUAUUUUAUGAAAAUAAAUUAUUUGUUUUAGAGUAUUGUGCUUAUCAUUUUAGAUUUUUUGUUAUAAAGAUGUUUAAGAAUAAGAUGCACUGUCUUAUCAUUCCAGUUAUUAUAUAUAAUCUCUGACAUUUUUUCUAGUGAUAAUGUAUAAUUCCUGAAAAUCUUAGUGAUAAUAUAUAAUCACUAAAGUUGCCAGUGAUUAUACAUAAUCCCUAAAAAUUUCAGGGACUAUACAUAAUCCUUAAUUAUACACAUUUACUGUAAUAUAGAUACAUAUAUCUUUAUUCUAACAAACCAAAUUGCAAAGGUAUAGAGAUAAUAAUACAUAACAUGUUUCAAUACAAUUACUUAAUUAACGUACGAAAGUAGAUAGAGACCUUUACAGUUAUUCACCCAGAAAUUUCAAUUUGUUGUUGAUUUCCUUAAAAAGUUUACACAGCUCAUUUAGUUCUGGAAUGUUUUGGAAUUCAUUGGAUAUGAAACUUCAAAGUGUUAGGUCUAUUUCUAUAAUGAAAUUGAAUACAUUGUUUUCUACAGUCAUCAUAGAAAAUGUUAUUAUUUUCUGGGUGGUUCAUUGUGUGUUUUAUAUAUAUAAAUGAAUGGAAUAAAUAUUGACAAUGAAUACAUCUGUGUACUAAAUGUAGUUCUCAGCGUUUGAUUAAAAUCAUUUCUUGACUGUUUACAACAACAGAUUCCGUGUCCAAAUUAUUUCUACCAGUCUUUUCCUUUACAAGAAAGAAUGAGCUUUUUUUUUUUACAUUUGUGUACAAACAAUGUCAAAAUAGAAAAACUUUUAAAAAUAUUGAAUUUGAAUGUUUAUGGGCAUUACUAAGUUUCUCUUCUAUUUAGGUAGAGGUUUCGGUAUGUUACUCAUAUAAUAUCGUUGAUAAAUUAAUAGAAAGGAUUUUUCUUUUUCUCAAUUUAUCACAAUUUUAGAUUUAAUUCCACGGGUGGCACAUGUAGAGCAGGAUCUGCAUAUCAUUUUGGAGCACCUGAGAUCACCCCUGUUUUUGGUUGGGUUCGUUUUGCUGAGUCUUUAGUUUUCUAUGUUGUGUUUUGAAUACUGUUAUUUAUCUUUUGGUCUUUUUCGUUUUUUAUGCCAUUGCGUUGUCAGUUUAUUUUCGACUUAAAAGAUUGCAUGUCCCUUUGGUAUCUUUUGCCUAUCCUUUAAGCUUGAUGUAUCUAUAAGAGAGUAUUAUAAUUCAUUUGAAUGUCCAACAAUUGACAUGAUGUUACCUCAUUCUUAAAUGUCAAUUACGGUUCAAGAGGAUUUUGAAGAUUUAGAAAAACGCCUUGACUUAAUACGGGGAAAAUUCUUCCUAUCUCUUUAAAGAUAAUUGGCAUGUGUUAAUGCGUAUACAUUGUAUGUACUUUCACCCGAAUCAAAUUACUACAAAUCAAAACUAUGGUUACACAUGUAAAGGCAUAUACCAUGAAAGGCGAUUUCGUUUUGAUUAUAUUAAUUAGGUCUGAAUUGUAAGUUUCUUUGAUGAGUUAUCACAGCUUCACACAAGAUUCCAUACAUAACCGUAUCAUUGUCUUUAUAACAGCAUUCUUUCCAUUUGUUUAGAGCAUAGAAAAGCCGGGAAUGAAACAGUUUUUGUUCGUGACGUUCUUCUGCUUCAUUUACAGUUUCCUGUCCUCUUCCCGAAACGGAGAGAG